rnacentral:rRNA from 1 species
GACGUAGGGCGCGAGCGUUGUCCGGAUUUAUUGGGCGUAAAGAGCUCGUAGGCGGUGUGUCGCGUCGGCCGUGAAAACCUGGGGCUUAACUCUGGGCUUGCGGUCGAUACGGGCAUCACUGGAGUUCGGCAGGGGAGACUGGAAUUCCUGGUGUAGCGGUGAAAUGCGCAGAUAUCAGGAGGAACACCGGUGGCGAAGGCGGGUCUCUGGGCCGAUACUGACGCUGAGGAGCGAAAGCGUGGGGAGCGAACAGG